UAGGGAAUCUUCCGCAAUGNGGCGAAAGCCUGACGGAGCAACGCCGCGUGAGUGAUGAAGGUCUUCGGAUCGUAAAACUCUGUUAUCAGGGAAGAACAAAUGUGUAAGUAACUGUGCACAUCUUGACGGUACCUGAUCAGAAAGCCACGGCUAACUACGUGCCAGCAGCCGCGGUAAUACGUAGGUGGCAAGCGUUAUCCGGAAUUAUUGGGCGUAAAGCGCGCGUAGGCGGUUUUUAAGUCUGAUGUGAAAGCCCACGGCUCAACCGUGGAGGGUCAUUGGAAACUGGAAAACUUGGGUGCAGAAGAGGAAAGUGGAAUUCCAUGUGUAGCGGUGAAAUGCGCAGAGAUAUGGAGGAACACCAGUGGCGAAGGCGACUUUCUGGUCUGUAACUGACGCUGAUGUGCGAAAGCGUGGGGAUCAAACAGGAUUAGAUACCCUGGUAGUCCACGCCGUAAACGAUGAGUGCUAAGUGUUAGGGGGUUUCCGCCCCUUAGUGCUGCAGCUAACGCAUUAAGCACUCCGCCUGGGGAGUACGACCGCAAGGUUG
rnacentral:rRNA from 1 species